GUAACGAGCGCAACCCUUGUCCUUAGUUACCAGCACGUUAAGGUGGGCACUCUAAGGAGACUGCCGGUGACAAACCGGAGGAAGGUGGGGAUGACGUCAAGUCAUCAUGGCCCUUACGGCCUGGGCUACACACGUGCUACAAUGGUCGGUACAAAGGGUUGCCAAGCCGCGAGGUGGAGCUAAUCCCAUAAAACCGAUCGUAGUCCGGAUCGCAGUCUGCAACUCGACUGCGUGAAGUCGGAAUCGCUAGUAAUCGUGAAUCAGAAUGUCACGGUGAAUACGUUCCCGGGCCUU
rnacentral:rRNA from 1 species